rnacentral:rRNA from 1 species
GAUGAACGCUGGCGGCGUGCCUAAUACAUGCAAGUCGAGCGAACAGACGAGGAGCUUGCUCCUCUGACGUUAGCGGCGGACGGGUGAGUAACACGUGGAUACCCUACCUAUAAGACUGGGAUAACUUCGGGAACCCGGAGCUAAUACCGGAUAAUAUAUUGAACCGCAUGGUUCAAUAGUGAAAGACGGUUUUGCUGUCCCUUAUAGAUGGUUCCGGGCCGCAUUAGCUAGUUGGUAAGGUAACGGCUUACCAAGGCAACGAUGCGUAGCCGACCUGAGAGGGUGAUCGGCCACACUGGAACUGAGACACGGUCCAGACUCCUACGGGAGGCAGCAGUAGGGAAUCUUCCGCAAUGGGCGAAAGCCUGACGGAGCAACGCCGCGUGAGUGAUGAAGGUCUUCGGAUCGUAAAACUCUGUUAUUAGGGAAGAACAAAUGUGUAAGUAACUAUGCACGUCUUGACGGUACCUAAUCAGAAAGCCACGGCUAACUACGUG